GUGGGGAAUAUUGGACAAUGGGCGCAAGCCUGAUCCAGCCAUGCCGCGUGAGUGAUGAAGGCCUUAGGGUUGUAAAGCUCUUUCAGUAGGGAAGAUAAUGACGGUACCUACAGAAGAAGCCCCGGCUAACUUCGUGCCAGCAGCCGCGGUAAUACGAAGGGGGCUAGCGUUGUUCGGAUUUACUGGGCGUAAAGCGCACGUAGGCGGAUUGGUCAGUUAGAGGUGAAAUCCCGAAGCUCAACUUCGGAACUGCCUUUAAUACUGCCAGUCUCGAGUCCGGAAGAGGUGAGUGGAACUCCUAGUGUAGAGGUGGAAUUCGUAGAUAUUAGGAAGAACACCAGUGGCGAAGGCGGCUCACUGGUCCGGUACUGACGCUGAGGUGCGAAAGCGUGGGGAGCAAACAGGAUUAGAUACCCCUGUAGUCC
rnacentral:rRNA from 1 species